CGGACGGGUGAAGUAACGCGUGGAAACCUGCCGUAUACUGGGGGAUAACACUUAGAAAUAGGUGCUAAUACCGCAUAAGCGCACAGCUUCGCAUGAAGCGGUGUGAAAAACUCUGGUGGUAUACGAUGGUUCCGCGUCUGAUUAGCUAGUUGGUGGGGUAAUGGCCUACCAAGGCAACGAUCAGUAGCCGGCCUGAGAGGGUGAACGGCCACAUUGGGACUGAGACACGGCCCAAACUCCUACGGAAGGCAGCAG
rnacentral:rRNA from 1 species